rnacentral:rRNA from 1 species
GGCGAACGCUGGCGGCGUGCCUAAUACAUGCAAGUUGAGCGCUGAAGGUUGGUACUUGUACCAACUGGAUGAGCAGCGAACGGGUGAGUAACGCGUGGGGAAUCUGCCUUUGAGCGGGGGACAACAUUUGGAAACGAAUGCUAAUACCGCAUAAAAACUUUAAACACAAGUUUUAAGUUUGAAAGAUGCAAUUGCAUCACUCAAAGAUGAUCCCGCGUUGUAUUAGCUAGUUGGUGAGGUAAAGGCUCACCAAGGCGAUGAUACAUAGCCGACCUGAGAGGGGGAUCGGCCACAUUGGGACUGAGACGCGGCCCAAACUCCUACGGGAGGCAGCAGGAGGGAAUCUUCGGCAAUGGACGAAAGUCUGACCGAGCAACGCCGCGUGAGUGAAGAAGGUUUUCGGAUCGUAAAACUCUGUUGGUAGAGAAGAACGUUGGUGAGAGUGGAAAGCUCAUCAAGUGACGGUAACUACCCAGAAAGGGACGGCUAACUACGUG